GGCUGUCCCUUUCUUAAAAGGAAACUGCCACAAAAGCAUCACAGUAUGAUGGUGUUUAGGAGAGACACUCGGAGGACAGAACAAGACAAUCUGGGUUGAAGCCAUAAUAAUGAGAGAGCCACAGCUGUGUAUGAAGGGCUCUUGGCCAUGCUGAAGAGAACUGGCAAUUUGGGGUGAGAAAGUUAGUUGAAGAGCUGAAAAAAUCAAUUGGUUGCACCACUCCUGUCCUGAAGCCUUGGAAAAUUACUCUCUAGAGACAACAGCUAUAGGA